rnacentral:rRNA from 1 species
CGCGGCCUAUCAGCUUGUUGGUGGGGUAACGGCCUACCAAGGCUUCGACGGGUAGCUGGUCUGAGAGGAUGUCCAGCCACACUGGGACUGAGACACGGCCCAGACUCCUACGGGAGGCAGCAGUGGGGAAUCUUGCGCAAUGGGCGAAAGCCUGACGCAGCGACGCCGCGUGCGGGAUGAAGGCCUUCGGGUUGUAAACCGCUUUCAGCAGGGACGAAAUUGACGGUACCUGCAGAAGAAGCCCCGGCCAACUACGUGCCAGCAGCCGCGGUAAUACGUAGGGGGCGAGCGUUGUCCGGAUUUAUUGGGCGUAAAGAGCUCGUAGGCGGUUCGGUAAGUCGGAUGUGAAAUCUCCACGCUCAACGUGGAGGGGCCAUUCGAUACUGCCGUGACUCGAGUCCGGUAGGGGAGUGUGGAAUUCCCGGUGUAGCGGUGAAAUGCGCAGAGAUCGGGAGGAACACCCGUAGCGAAGGCGGCACUCUGGGCCGGUACUGACGCUGAGGAGCGAAAGCGUGGGGAGCGAACAGGAUUAGAUACCUGGUAGUCCACGCCGUAAACGUUGGGCACUAGGUGUGGGACUCUAUCGACGGGUUCCGUGCCGUAGCUAACGCAUUAAGUGCCCCGCCUGGGGAGUACGG